CAUGCACAUGCCCAGCUUUCACUCUCACAUCAGGACGUCCCAAGGGCAUCGAAGCGAGACGAGAUGACUCACCAUUGCACCAAGUUCUCUGGCCAUUGGAAGAUCAUCGUGUACGACGAGGAGUGUUUCCAGGUUCCAGGGUCGUCACCAUGAGUUC